rnacentral:rRNA from 1 species
UGGGGAAUAUUGCACAAUGGGGGAAACCCUGAUGCAGCGACGCCGCGUGAACGAAGAAGGUAUUCGUAUCGUAAAGUUCUGUCCUAUGGGAAGAUAAUGACAGUACCAUAGAAGAAAACUCCGGCUAAAUACGUGCCAGCAGCCGCGGUAAUACGUAUGGAGCGAGCGUUGUCCGGAAUUAUUGGGCGUAAAGGGUACGCAGGCGGUUUAAUAAGUCGAAUGUUAAAGAUCGGGGCUCAACCCCGCAAAGCAUUGGAAACUGAUAAACUUGAGUAGUGGAGAGGAAAGUGGAAUUCCUAGUGUAGUGGUGAAAUACGUAGAUAUUAGGAGGAAUACCAGUAGCGAAGGCGACGUUCUGGACACAAACUGACGCUGAGGUACGAAAGCGUGGGGAGCAAACAGG